UACUGAGAAGAGCUUACCAACUUCACCUAUCUCCAAAAGCAAGCUUGUCACAGCAGCAGUAGCAUGGUACAGAUCUUGUUCGUUGGGGUCUUCACUGAACAUGUUAUACAUUGUCUUGCACAGUUCAAUGAACUGUCCCUGGUUCAGCUUGGGCAAAUCCUUUGAGUUUUUUGCUUUGGAUUUAUUCUCUUGGCUCCACAUUCUCAGAUAAUUUCGAUUCUCUUGUGAACUCUUCUUGCCUUUGUCUGUUUUCAGACUCACUGUAACAAAUCCAUCAUCUACUCCUUGUUUGUUCCUGCUGUCCA
rnacentral:lncRNA from 1 species